ACAGUCUUUCAGGAUGUCUGAAAGGGGCAAGUCUGUUUGUGUGGGGCUGGGGAGCUGUGCUUUGGAAAAGCAAUGAGGAGGUAACAGGAAGUCUCUUCUCCUUCUAAAUCCUGUGUUCAUGGAGGAGGGUGGGUUUUCUCCUCUUGAGAGGGAGUUACAUACAAGUUUAAGGGAAAAGAGUCUGAAGUUUCCACCUAAAUGAUUCUGAAAGAAUCAGAUAUACAGGGAGUCCACGGAGCCUCCCCUGCAAGCAUCAGUACAGAAGUCGAUGAUAAUCUGGAUGCAAGCCCAGGAGUGUGGAGUCCACUGACUCAGAAGACCUGCAUCUAAGGAAUUGGCUGUUCUUAUCCUUAAGAAUGAUGACUGUGUUUCCAAUUCCAGUAGACCCUUUGAUGCGUUCUGAAUAAAUAUUCCUUUUGGAAUUGAA
rnacentral:lncRNA from 10 species